CCAAACAAGGGGGUUUGGAUUAGGAACACAGAGGUGUAAUUAGCCACAAUGCCGCAGGGCCCAUUACAAUGCCCAAAGUUCUAGUCAUCCAUGGAACACGGGGUGAAACGCUGGGAGAGGUGUGAAUAGCUCAGAUUGGGCCAAGAAGCCCAAUGCAACAAACAAGCCAUGAAGGCUGAAGGGAAUGGUGGAAAUAUGAUUCAGCAGGAGAGUACGUGUAUAAUUGACCAUUAUGGAACACAUUUUUCACGUGCCAAAAUCCAAAUUUAAUGAAAAUCCAAACGUGAGUCAGAGUGGCCUCCCUCCACCUGAGCUCAGUCCCUCUUCCGCCGCACCGGAGGUCGCCUCUGAUGGCGGGUCUUUAAUGACCAAAUAAAGCACAUCACCUCCUCCAAUUUAAAGUCCCGAGCUUGAAAAUCACGGUUAAAUAGCCUAAAUUUUCAAGAACAACAUGAAUCAAAGGUAAAAAGGGGAAGAACCCUAGAAAUCAAGUGGAAAUUAAAUCGUGCUCUCUCGAAACCAAACCAUCGGGGUUAGGGCUUUGAUUCCCCUAAUCGAACCUCACAUCUCAGUAACUUAUAUACAGUCAACUAAUGAAGAUGAAGGUAGAACUUACCGGAGCAUCGCCGGAGUCAGGUAAGAAAUCUUUGAAUCCUCUCGAAACUUAUUCUUCCUUUCUGUUCUUCUUUUCUACUUCUUCUCAACUUCUUCUAAAAAUUGUCUGAAUUGUGAGAUUUAACCGUGGGUUCGAUAUAUAUAUAUAUAUAGAGAGAGAGGGGGGAUUGUGAGUGAGGUCAAGCUCUACUAUGUUGAAGCUUCAAGGUGAAGAUUCAAUUGAGUAUGUUAAAGGAGCUCUAGAUGAGAGUGCAGAGGAAAGUUCUGAGAUGAAAGUUGAAUCUCGAAAUUCUGAGAAGGGUGAAAAUGAAUUGUAUUCCUCGGUGAUGAAUAAUUGCAGAGUAUUUAUAGAUUUUAGGUCCUUCAAAUUUCUGUUAGAAAUGCCAAAUGAAAUUCAACUGAAAUUCACAAGUUAGUUGGAAAUUAGAAAUUUUGUUAGAGUGAAUAUGAGUGAAAGAUUAGUUUAUUAUCAUUGCAAAUUCAGUUAGUUGAAUUAGGAUUAUAUGUGUGCUGCAUUAGGUUAAUUAUUAUGGUCUUCUUCUGUUAAGAGAAAUUUUGUAGGGUGGAUGUUAAUUAUGCAAGAGAAACGUAUGAUUUAUGUUUUGUUAAAAGUUAAGCAUGAUGUAUGCUUUGGUUCUUAAUGAACUUGGUGUGUUUCAUUUAAAACAGGUGCAUGGCUAUGAGAAUGAUGGAACUUCCAAUUGGUGUUCCGUUAAAAACGUGCAGGGUUCUAUUGGUUGAAAUUGGAGGGGGUAAGUUGAACAUGGUUUUGCUCUAUUAUGUAAUUUAUUACAAGCUGAAAAUGAAAUUUGCACUGUUAUGUUUGUAGGUUGGAAGAUUUUUUUUGCAAGGAUGAGCUGAUGUGAGAUGCUAUGGAAUAUCAUUUUACCCUGUUAGAAGCAAAUGAAUGAUUUAUAGACUGUUGCUUUGAUAUGCUUGGAUUGUGUAUUGAAUAUCAUGGACUAUGGGAUUGUGUAAAAUUGACUAGAGACUUAGGAUUUCUCAAAUGGUUGAAUAUUGUAAUUGUAUAAAAUGGUGUGGUCUGUUUAAUGUGUAAUGAAAAGUUAAUUGAAUUUGAAUUGAAUGGAUUAAUGGUUAUGGAAUUUAAUGUGUGCACUGAAUUUGUAGGAUGGUGUAUUGCAUUGAUUUGUAAUGGAAAGUUAUUGAAUGUUAAGAUUGUUAUGGAAAGUUAAUUGAAUGAAUGCUUGAAUGGUUUAUGGAGUUGUACUUCAAUGUGUAAAUAUUUGGACUGAAUGUUGUUUUGAAAAUUGAUUGAAUGUGGAAUAAGGUCUUGUAUUUGGCCAUGAAAUUGUCUAUGUAUUGCAUUUGGAAAUGACCUUUGAAAUGGACAUGUAACAUGUGUUGGUUAAUUAACAUGGUUUAACAUGAACAUGGUUUAGGUGCUUUGAAAUGGACAAGAACAUGAAUUAUGGUUUGUAAAAGAAGCAUGGUUGAAAAAUGACUUGGAAAUGGACAUUGUCUUAUGGUUUUUGGACUGCC
rnacentral:lncRNA from 1 species